rnacentral:rRNA from 1 species
AAUCAACGCUGGCGGCGUGCCUCAGACAUGCAAGUCGAACGCGAAAGUUCCCUUCGGGGGGCGAGUAGAGUGGCGCACGGGUGAGUAACACGUAGGUAAUCUACCUUUGGGUGGGGAAUAACAGCCGGAAACGGCUGCUAAUACCGCAUAAUGCAGCGGCUCGACAUCGAGACAGUUGUUAAAGCGGGGGAUCGCAAGACCUCGCGCCUAAAGAGGAGCCUGCGGCGGAUUAGCUUGUUGGUGAGGUAAUGGCUCACCAAGGCAUCGAUCCGUAGCCGGCCUGAGAGGGCGGUCGGCCACACUGACACUGACAUACGGGUCAGACUCCUACGGGAGGCAGCAGUCGGGAAUUUUGGGC